UACGAAGGGUGCAAGCGUUAUUCGGAAUCACUGGGCGUAAAGGGUGCGUAGGCGGUAUGUUAAGUUUGUCGUUAAAGACUCUAGCCUAACUGGAGGGUUGCGAUGAAAACUGGCGUACUAGAGGAUGAGAGAGAGAAGUGGAAUUCCUGGAGUAGCGGUAAAAUGCGUGGAUCUCAGGAGGAACACCAAUGGCGAAGGCAGCUUCUUGGCUCAUAUCUGACGCUGAGGCACGAAAGCGUGGGGAGCAAACAGG
rnacentral:rRNA from 1 species